rnacentral:rRNA from 1 species
AACGAACGCUGGCGGCAGGCCUAACACAUGCAAGUCGAGCGAGGACUUCGGUCCUAGCGGCUGACGGGUGAGUAACGCGUGGGAACGUGCCCUUUGCUUCGGACUAUCCCUGGGAAACUAGCAGUAAUAACGGAUUAGCCCAUUGGGGGAAAGAUUUAUCGGCGAAGGAUCGGCCCGCGUUGGAUUAGGUGGUUGGUGGGGUAAUGGCCUACCAAGCCGACGAUCCAUAGCUGGUCUGAGAGGAUGAUCAGCCACACUGGGACUGAGACACGGCCCAGACGCCGAAGGGAGGCAGCAGUGGGGAAUCUUAGACAAUGGGGGAAACCCUGAUCUAGCCAUGCCGCGUGAGCGAUGAAGGCCUUAGGGUUGUAAAGCUCUUGCAGCUGGGAAGAUAAUGACGGUACCAGCAGAAGAAGCCCCGGCUAACUCCGUG